rnacentral:lncRNA from 1 species
AUCACAUGGCUUCUUUUGAAAAAUAGAUUUUUAUAUUUAUGUGGACGGUCUAUGGAAAACACUUAGUUUUUAAUAUGAAAAAUAGAUAAUUAAUUAUACAAUGAUAAAUUCUUAUAAAUUUAACAAUUUCAUAAAAAAAAACUAAUGCAAUGUUUACAAUUAAAAGAUAAUUAUUUUACAUUCUUUUGGAUUCCUAUUAUUGAUAGAUUAAUUUAUACCAACUUUAUUUUGACUAAUGUAGUAUUUACAUUUUCUAUAUUGUAUAUUACUUUUUAAUGUAGUAUUUUCAUUUUUAAAUUGUGUACUUAAUUAUUAUUAAUUAUUGUAUAUUAUAUAUUUACAUAUUUAAAUGCAUAUUUAAAUGUAAUUAAUUUUUACAUUUUAAGAUAUAUGUGUAAUGUUGUAUUUCUAUUUUUUAUUUUUUAUUUACAUUUUAAGAUAGAUGUUUAAUGCUUAAUGUACUUUUUUAUUUUUUAUAUUAUGUAUUUACUUAUCGAUAUUAUUUUCGUAUAUUAUAUAUUUACAUAAUAUAUAUAUAUUUUACAUUUUAAGAUAAAUGUUUAAGGCUUAAUGUACUUUUUCUAUUUUUUUAAAUUUUAUAUUUACAUUUUAUGAUAAAUUUUUAAUGCUUAAUGUACUUUUUAUAUUUUUU